UACGGAGGGUGCAAGCGUUAUCCGGAAUCAUUGGGUUUAAAGGGUUCGCAGGCGGAUUUAUAAGUCAGUGGUGAAAGCCUGAUGCUUAACAUCAGAACUGCCAUUGAUACUGUAAUUCUUGAAUUCGAUCGAAGUGGGCGGAAUAUGACAUGUAGCGGUGAAAUGCUUAGAUAUGUCAUAGAACACCGAUAGCGAAGGCAGCUCACUAGGUCUGGAUUGACGCUCAGGGACGAAAGCGUGGGGAGCAAACAGG
rnacentral:rRNA from 1 species